AGCAAAUUUCUUUCCACCCAUGUCAACAAUUUCCUCUCUUGAACCAAAAAGACUUCUCCUUUCUUCAAUUUAAUAUGACAAUGUCUCUUUCCUCUCUAAAAAGCUUCCACCUUUAGAGACAGGAAGAGAUGGAGGAGAUGGGUUUUGCUUAAGCGGAGGGAUUUUAUACAGAGAGGAAGGAAAAAGAAGGAAAAAGAGUUUCCUU
rnacentral:misc_RNA from 1 species